GACGAACGCUGGCGGCGUGCUUAACACAUGCAAGUCGAACGGAAAGGCCCUGCUUUUGUGGGGUGCUCGAGUGGCGAACGGGUGAGUAACACGUGAGUAACCUGCCCUUGACUUUGGGAUAACUUCAGGAAACUGGGGCUAAUACCGGAUAGGAGCUCCGCUGCAUGGUGGGGGUUGGAAAGUUUCGGCGGUUGGGGAUGGACUCGCGGCUUAUCAGCUUGUUGGUGGGGUAGUGGCUUACCAAGGCUUUGACGGGUAGCCGGCCUGAGAGGGUGAUCGGCCACAUUGGGACUGAGAUACGGCCCAGACUCCUACGGGAGGCAGCAGUGGGGAAUAUUGCACAAUGGGCGGAAGCCUGAUGCAGCAACGCCGCGUGCGGGAUGACGGCCUUCGGGUUGUAAACCGCUUUCGCCUGUGACGAAGCGUGAGUGACGGUAAUGGGUAAAGAAGCACCGGCUAACUACGUG
rnacentral:rRNA from 1 species